rnacentral:tRNA from 1 species
GCUCGGGUGGCGGAAUUGGCAUACGCGCUGGACUUAGAAUCCAGAUUUUGAGAGUUCGAGUCUCUCCCCGAGUACCA